GAUGAAGAACGCAGCGAAAUGCGAUAAGUAGUGUGAAUUGCAGAAUUCAGUGAAUCAUCGAAUCUUUGAACGCACAUUGCGCCCCUUGGUAUCCCGAGGGGCAUGCCUGUUCGAGCGUCAUUGCUGCCCUCAAGCACGGCUUGUGUGUUGGGCUUCCGUCCCUGGCAACGGGGACGGGCCCAAAAGGCAGUGGCGGCACCAUGUCUGGUCCUCGAGCGUAUGGGGCUUUGUCACCCGCUCCCGUAGGUCCAGCUGGCAGCUAGCCUCGCAACCAAUCUUUUUAACCAGGUUGACCUCGGAUCAGGUAGGGAUACCCGCUGAACUUAAGCAUAUCAAUAAGCGGAGGA
rnacentral:misc_RNA from 1 species